rnacentral:rRNA from 1 species
GAAAGCGAAGCUAAUACCUGAUAAGACUACGAUCUCCUAGGAGAUAGUAGGAAAAGAUGGCCUCUGUUUCAUGCUAUUGUUUAAGGAUGAGCCCUUGCACUAUUAGCUUGUUGGUGGGGUAAUGGCCCACCAAGGCUACGAUGGUUAGCUGGUCUGAGAGGAUGACCAGCCACACUGGAACUGAGACACGGUCCAGACUCCUACGGGAGGCAGCAGUGAGGAAUAUUGCGCAAUGGGGGAAACCCUGACGCAGUGACGCCGCGUGAGCGAUGAAGGCUUUCGAGUCGUAAAGCUCUGUUAGGUGGAAAGAAACAUUCCAGUGCCAAUACCACUGGAACUUGACGGUACCACCAGAGGAAGCACCGGCUAACUCCGUGCCAGCAGCCGCGGUAAUACGGAGGGUGCAAGCGUUGUUCGGAAUUACUGGGCGUAAAGGGCGUGUAGGCGGCUAGGCAAGUCAGAUGUGAAAUCCCUUGGCUCAACCAAGGAAGUGCAUUUGAAACUGCUUAACUAGAGUACAGGAGGGGAAAGUGGAAUUCCCAGUGUA